rnacentral:rRNA from 1 species
UUUAACAACAGGAAAUUUUUCUAUAGCUUGCUAUAAAGAAUAAUUAGUGGCAGACGGGUGAGUAAUGCAUAGGGAUCUACCUAGUAGUAUGGGAUAGCCACUAGAAAUGGUGGGUAAUACUGUAUAAUCCCUGCGGGGGAAAGAUUUAUCGCUAUUAGAUGAGCCUAUGUUAGAUUAGCUAGUUGGUAGGGUAAAGGCCUACCAAGGCGAUGAUCUAUAGCUGGUCUGAGAGGAUGAUCAGCCACACUGGAACUGAGAUACGGUCCAGACUCCUACGGGAGGCAGCAGUGGGGAAUAUUGGACAAUGGGCGCAAGCCUGAUCCAGCUAUGCCGCGUGAGUGAGGAAGGCCUUAGGGUUGUAAAACUCUUUCAGUAGGGAAGAUAAUGACGGUACCUACAGAAGAAGUCCCGGCAAACUCCGUGCCAGCAGCCGCGGUAAUACGGAGGGGGC